rnacentral:rRNA from 1 species
AGCAGCCGCGGUAAUUCCAGCUCCAAUAGCGUAUAUUAAAGUUGUUGCAGUUAAAAAGCUCGUAGUUGAAUUUCGGGAUCAAUAUGUUGGUCGUGCCUUGGUACGUACUGGCAUUAUUGGUUUCUACCUUCUGAAGAAUCUCGAUGUCAUUAAUUUGGUGUCUUGGGGAAUCAGGACUGUUACUUUGAAAAAAUUAGAGUGUUUAAAGCAGGCUCACGCUUGAAUACAUUAGCAUGGAAUAAUGAAAUAGGACGUUUGAUUCUAUUUUGUUGGUUUCUAGGAUCGACGUAAUGAUUAAUAGGGAUAGUUGGGGGCAUUAGUAUUCAAUUGUCAGAGGUGAAAUUCUUGGAUUUAUUGAAGACUAACUACUGCGAAAGCAUUUGCCAAGGAUGUUUUCAUUAAUCAAGAACGAAAGUUAGGGGAUCGAAGACGAUCAGAUACCGUCGUAGUCUUAACCAUAAACUAUGCCGACUAGGGAUCGGAUGAUGUUAAUUUUUUAAUGACUCAUUCGGCGCCUUACG